rnacentral:lncRNA from 1 species
ACAAACUUUUCUAUUGAAAUACUAGGAAUAAUUAAAACUGAUUGCGAGGGAAGUGACGCAGUAUACAGACUACCAUCUGAUUGAUUUUAAGGGAAGGUGAUACAUAAGAGGAUGGAGUUAUCUACUUUGGUUGAGAACGAGGGAAUAUCUAUUUCUAAAAUUUAUUUCCUUCAUUCUUGCCUUUGGGCUUUUCCUUGGGCCUUUU